rnacentral:misc_RNA from 1 species
UUUCCGUAGGUGAACCUGCGGAAGGAUCAUUACAGAGUUCAUGCCCUCACGGGUAGAUCUCCCACCCUUGAAUAUUUAUACCUUAGUUGCUUUGGCAGGCCGUGGAAACACCAUGGGCUCCGGCUUAUGCGUGCCUGCCAGAGGAAACAAACUCUGUUUUUAGUGAUGUCUGAGUACUAUAUAAUAGUUAAAACUUUCAACAACGGAUCUCUUGGUUCCG